GACGAACGCUGGCGGCGUGCUUAACACAUGCGAGUCGAACGGUGAAGCGCCUUCCUUUUUGGUGGGUGUGGAUGAGUGGCGAACGGGUGAGUAACACGUGAGUAACCUGCCCCCUUCUUCUGGAUAACCGCAUGAAAGUGUGGCUAAUACGGGAUAUUCUGGGUCUGUCGCAUGAUGGGUCUGGGAAAGAUAUUGUUUCGGUGGGGGAUGGGCUCGCGGCCUAUCAGCUUGUUGGUGGGGUGAUGGCCUACCAAGGCGGUGACGGGUAGCCGGCCUGAGAGGGUGGACGGUCACACUGGGACUGAGACACGGCCCAGACUCCUACGGGGGGCAGCAGUGGGGAAUAUUGCACAGUGGGCGCAAGCCUGAUGCAGCGACGCCGCGUGAGGGAUGGAGGCCUUCGGGUUGUGAACCUCUUUCGCCAGUGAAGCAGGCCUGCCUCGUUUGUGGGUGGGUUGACGGUAGCUGGAUAAGAAGCGCCGGCUAACUACGUG
rnacentral:rRNA from 1 species